GACGAACCGUACGAACGUUAUUCGGAAUCACUGGGCUUAAAGGGUGCGUAGGCGGCGCAGAAAGUAGGGUGUGAAAUCCCUCGGCUCAACCGAGGAACUGCGCUCUAAACUACUGUGCUCGAGGGAGAUAGAGGUGAGCGGAACUUAGGGUGGAGCGGUGAAAUGCGUUGAUAUCCUAAGGAACACCGGUGGCGAAAGCGGCUCACUGGAUCUCUUCUGACGCUGAGGCACGAAAGCUAGGGUAGCAAACGGG
rnacentral:rRNA from 1 species